AAAGUUCACUCAUAUGAUGCUGACCCCCGUUUGGCAGGGUGAUGGGUGAGGGCCAGCUUUCACAUACGGAGCCCAGUGUGGAGAGCCAGCAUGGGGGUUUUCUGAGGUCUCUUUUCCUUUUGUUUCUGUCUAACAUUCUUACCACCUCCUGUCGGCCAGCUUCCGCUCCUAUAGCCUUGAGGAACAUCUAUAUUGUCUCUCCGUCUCAAUCAAGCACACAGUCUCUUUGUCUCUCUGUCCAUCAGGUUCAAUUCUGAAGCAAAGGGGGACUCCAUCUCUAGCCUCCAACAGCCGUCAUCUGCCCAGUGGGGUUUGUUUGUACUCGCUCCGAGCAGGAGCUCCGCAUUUC